UAAAAAUUAUUUAUACCUAUAUGUCAAUUCAAUCAUAUUUUAGCAAAAAGAUAAGUGUGAGUAACUAAUAUAUCAAAAAUAUAUAAAAAAAAAAAAAUGAAAUUGGGCCUGGCUGACCCAUGGCCCCACGGAUCGGGCCGCGCUCUAGAACGAGUGGCUCAAUUUCAAAUGGGCUGGCCCAUUUAUGCCAUCGGGCCUCUUAGGCCGUACCAAGUCAGCCCAUUUGACACCUCUACAUAGAGCUGUCAAAACGGGCGGCCCGACCCGGUCGGGCAACGAGCUUUUUAGGGCCGGACUGAAAAGCCCGGUUUGAAUAUGAACUUGAAAAAUGGAGCCCGAGUCUGGCCCUAUACGGGCUAACGGGCCAACCCUGGCCCGUUUUUUAUUUUAUUUUAAAAAAAGCAAAAAAUAAUUUUAUUAAAAUAAAUAGCAUCAUAAAGCAUAAGAAACGCUCAACAGAUGCAAGAAAUAAAACUGUACAAAAACAGUGAUAGGUAUGAACCCCUCAAAAAGCCUCCAGCAACAAUAACAGGAAAAAAAAACACCUAAAAUCAAAGAAUAAAGCAAGAGUUAAUGUAGAACAUAAAAGCAUGACCUAAUAUAAGGUAUGCAUAAAUAUAACUUAACUAUUUGAUUGUUUAUUUUUUUCAUAAGCAAAUUUCAAAAAGAAUAAACAGUUUACUAUUGAAAACAAUAAACAGUGCAUAAAUAUAACUUAACUUUCAUCAUAACAGAAUAAAUAGUAUGCAUAAGUAAGAAUGAAGUUUAGAAAGGAAUUCCAAUAGUAUGCAUAAGUAACUAAUGUAUGUAACUAUUUUUUUUAUAAACAAUAUGCAUAAGUAAAUAUUUAUUUAUUUAAUCUUAAGAAUGAAGUUUAGAAUAAAUGGAAUUUCAUCGGAACAUAAUACUAUUGAAAACAAUUUAGAACUUAUUUCACAGAAUUUUCAAAGCAACAGUGGUGUACAAAAAUAAACUCAGAAAGGGAACAAUAUAGCAGAUAGCCCCUAGUGUAAAAAUUUAAAAACAAUAAAAAAAAAACCCCACUUGGGUUGUCCAGUAAGUAACACACACAAACCACACAGAAACAAAAGAAAAAAACUACUUGAAAUUUUGGCGGGCUGCCCGUAGCCCGAACGGGUUACGGGCUGGGCUAAAAAGCCCUGGAAAAAUUCGGGCUCUAAUUUUUCAGCCCAAGCCUUACAUUUUAUUCGGACUUUCGGUCCGGUCCAUAUGGUCCGGCCCUCGUUUUGACAGCUCCACCUCUACAUAUAAUUGGUUCGAAAUAUCUCUCCAUGCACAUUAUUUGUUGGAAGUUUGACAUGUCAUCUAAAUUAAAAAAGAUAAACAGGAUUUGUUACGGUAAAUAAACAUGAUUUGUUACAGUAAAUUACAAAUAUCUAUACAUAUAAUUCCAAUCAAAAUCUAAAUUUCAUAAAAUAUCUCUUAUUACUUAAAGUUAACCCGUAAGCAAUAUUUUGCUUUAGAUUUACCCUAAUUACUCUGCUUAAUUUUACUAUAUUAACCAUAUCUCUUCUAUUAUCUCUUAUUACUUAAUUAAAGUUAAUCCGUAAGCAAUAUUUUGCCCUAGAUUUACCCUAAUUUCUCUGCAUAAUUUUACUAUAUUAACCAUACCUCUUCUAUUAUCUCUUAUUACUUAAAGUUAACCCGUAAGCAAUAUUUUGCCCUAGAUUUACCCUAAUUUUGAUUAUCUGCUUAAUUUUACUAUAUUAACCAUAUCUCUUCUGUUAUCUCUUAUUACUUAAAGUUAACCCGCAAACAAUAUUUUGCCCUAGAUUUACCCUAAUUUCUCUGCUUAAUUUUACUAUAUUAACCCUAUCUCUUCUAUUAUCUCUUUACUUCAAGUUAACCCGUAAGCAAUAUUUUGCCCUAAAUUUAACCUUAUCUCUCUGCUUAAUUUUACAAUAUAUUAACCCCACCUCUUAUAUCAUCUCUUAUCUCUUAUUACUAUUUAAAGUUAACAAGUUAACCCGUAAGCAAUAUUUUGCCAUAGAUUUACCCUAAUUUCUCUGCUUAAUUUUACUAUACUAACCCUAUCUCUUAUUAAUAAAGUUUAACCCGUCUCGCUAUUAUGUUAGUCAAAUUAUGUUCCUAAUUUCAUUGAUAAUCGCAUUUAUUGUUCAUUCCAAUUAAAAGAUCAAAAUCUCUGUCGGGUCGAUGUCAUGUUACAAUAUCAAGGUCGAUGUCAUGGUCAUAAUAUGAUAUGAUAUAGUACCAAUGUCUAUGAUAAUUAAUAUUAUGAAUUUAAUCAGAACAAUUAUGACAUUCAACUAAACUAUUUUGUUACAUGUUACUGUCAAAUAUUACCUUCGAUAUGACGCGUGCGAUAG
rnacentral:lncRNA from 1 species